rnacentral:rRNA from 1 species
GCACUCCGCCUGGGGAGUACGGUCGCAAGACUAAAACUCAAAGGAAUUGACGGGGGCCCGCACAAGCAGCGGAGCAUGUGGUUUAAUUCGAAGCAACGCGAAGAACCUUACCAGGGCUUGACAUCGUCUGAAUAUCUUAGAGAUAAGAGAAACCCUUCGGGGGCAGAUAGACAGGUGGUGCAUGGUUGUCGUCAGCUCGUGUCGUGAGAUGUUGGGUUAAGUCCCGCAACGAGCGCAACCCUUGUCAUUAGUUGCUAACAGUAAGAUGAGCACUCUAAUGAGACUGCCGGGGACAACUCGGAGGAAGGUGGGGAUGACGUCAAAUCAUCAUGCCCCUUAUGUCCUGGGCUACACACGUGCUACAAUGGCUAGAACAAUGAGAUGCAAGAUGGUGACAUGGAGCAAAUCUAUAAAACUAGUCCCA